GAUGAACGCUGGCGGCGUGCUUAACACAUGCAAGUCGAACGAGAAGUGGAGACGGAAACCUUCGGGCGGAAGACUUUAUUUCGAGUGGCGGACGGGUGAGUAACGCGUGGGUAACCUGCCUCAUACAGGGGGAUAACAGUUGGAAACGACUGUUAAUACCGCAUAAGACCACAGCACCGCAUGGUGCGGGGGUAAAAACUCCGGUGGUAUGAGAUGGACCCGCGUUCGAUUAGCCAGUUGGCGGGGUAACGGCCCACCAAAGCGACGAUCGAUAGCCGAUCUGAGAGGAUGACCGGCCACAUUGGGACUGAGACACGGCCCAAACUCCUACGGGAGGCAGCAGUGGGGAAUAUUGCACAAUGGGGGAAACCCUGAUGCAGCGACGCCGCGUGAGUGAAGAAGUAUUUCGGUAUGUAAAGCUCUAUCAGCAGGGAAGAAAAUGACCGUACCUGAGUAAGAAGCCCCGGCUAACUACGUG
rnacentral:rRNA from 1 species